rnacentral:rRNA from 1 species
AGGUUUCCGUAGUGAACCUGCGGAGGAUCAUUACACGUUCCAAUUAC